rnacentral:lncRNA from 1 species
GGUAAAAUGGCUUUGGAUGAGGUAUUUAAGGAAAGAGAUACUUUAAAUUUAAUGAUUGUUGAGGCAAUAAACAGUGCUGCAAAAGUUUGGGGAAUCAGAUGUUUGAGAUAUGAAAUAAGGGAUAUUCAAUUGCCAGAGAAAGUGAGAGAAUCUAUGCAAAUGCAAGUGGAGGCUGAAAGAAGGAAGCGAGCUACUGUACUUGAAUCA